rnacentral:rRNA from 1 species
GAUGAACGCUGGCGGCGUGCCUAAUACAUGCAAGUCGAGCGAACGGACGAGAAGCUUGCUUCUCUGAUGUUAGCGGCGGACGGGUGAGUAACACGUGGAUAACCUACCUAUAAGACUGGGAUAACUUCGGGAAACCGGAGCUAAUACCGGAUGAUAUUUUGAACCGCAUGGUUCAAAAGUGAAUGACGGUCUUGCUGUCACUUAUAGAUGAAUCCGCGCUGCAUUAGCUAGUUGGUAAGGUAACGGCUUACCAAGGCAACGAUGCAUAGCCGACCUGAGAGGAUGAUCGGCCACACUGGAACUGAGACACGGUCCAGACUCCUACGGGAGGCGGCAGUAGGGAAUCUUCCGCAAUGGGCGAAAGCCUGACGGAGCAACGCCGCGUGAGUGAUGAAGGUCUUCGGAUCGUAAAACUCUGUUAUUAGGGAAGAACAGAUGUGUAAGUAACUGUGCACAUCUUGACGGUACCUAAUCAGAAAGCCACGGCUAACUACGUG